rnacentral:tRNA from 1 species
GACAAGGUGACUGAAAUGCAGGUGGUAGAUUGUAAAUCUACAAAUGGAAUGAUAAAGUUCCUCUUGUCA